GAGAGGGGGAGAGGGGGAGAGAGAAAGACAAAGAGACGAAGGUGGGCGACCCUAACGCAGUCCUCCAUUUCAUUUCAAACCGGCGAGCGGGCAGGUGUGGUGUUGCCGCAGGUGUGGACUGCCGGCGACCUGCGUGACAAAGGAAGGUUUGGAACAAAACAAGAAGCAAGAACAAUUAAGAUGAACACUAGCCACACCACAGAACUGUUACUGCUGGCACCACCACCAUCACCACCACCACCACCACCCUGCCAAGUGGACACCCCAGUGUGAGCGGAGCCAUCAACACCAGCCUGAGGACUAAUUGCUUAUGUACCAGAGGAGUGUGACAGUCUACCAAUACCUUGGAAGGAAGGUGAUGGUGAGGAACAGUGAAGAAAGAUGACGGAGCAGAAACAGGCCCACACCAUCCUGGAAUGUGCUGCAAAUAAUCUUGGUUACCGGCAAAGUAAAGAGAUAAAGAGAUAGAUAGAUACAGAGAUAGAUAAUUAUUAGUAAGAGUGAGAUUAAGAUAGAUAGAUAAUUAUUAUUAAGAGUGUUAGUUAGAUAGAUAUAUACAGAGAUAGAUAAUUAUUAGUAAGAGUGAGAUUAAGAGUGAGAUUAAGAUAGAUAAUUAUUAUUAAGAGUGCUAGAUUAUUAUAUUCUUAUUAUAUUAUUUUAUUUGUGUGUGUGGUGUGUGUGUGUGUGUGUUCUCUUUUCAGAAGUGUGUUUGGAAUGCAAGAAAUAUACAAGACCACAGAAGAUUCUAUAGUGGUGGUGGUGGUAGUAGUAGUAGUAAUAGUAGUAGUAGUAGUAGUAGUAGUACUUUAUCAAUAUACAGGGCAUUAUAGAAACAAUGAAUGUAGUUAGGGUGGUGGUGGUGGUGGUGGUGGUGGUGGUGGUGGUGGUAAUUUUCUACUACUGGCUCUAACAAAUAUACUAACAUAAUAACAAAUAUACUAACAUAAAUAUUUAUUAUUUUUCUUUUACAGCUUAUUUGAUUUAUUUAAUUAUUUUAUUGGUGGGAGGGAAAAUAAUUUUUUUUGCAAAUUUAUUGAUAAAUUACAUGUUUUAUUUAUAUAUUAAGUUUAUUGAUGUUAUAUUUCGCGGUUUUGUUAAUUU